rnacentral:rRNA from 1 species
CAGCAGCCGCGGUAAUACGUAGGGUGCGAGCGUUAAUCGGAAUUACUGGGCGUAAAGCGGGCGCAGACGGUUACUUAAGCAGGAUGUGAAAUCCCCCGGCUCAACCUGGGAAUUGCGUUCUGAACUGGGUGGCUAGAGUGUGUCAGAGGGGGGUAGAAUUCCACGUGUAGCGGUGAAAUGCGUAGAGAUGUGGAGGAAUACCGAUGGCGAAGGCAGCCCCCUGGGAUAGCACUGACGUUCAUGCCCGAAAGCGUGGGUAGCAAACAGGAUUAGAUACCCCUGUAGUCCCUGUCUCUUAUAC